rnacentral:rRNA from 1 species
AAACUAACAAGGAUUCCCUUAGUAGCGGCGAGCGAAGCGGGAAGAGCUCAAAUUUGAAAGCUGGCGUCCUACGGGCGUCCGCAUUGUAAUCUAUAGAGGCGUUUUCUGUGCUGGACCGUGUCCAAGUCCCUUGGAACAGGGUAUCAAAGAGGGUGACAAUCCCGUACUUGACACGACAACCAGUGCUCUGUGAUACGUCUUCUACGAGUCGAGUUGUUUGGGAAUGCAGCUCAAAAUGGGUGGUGAAUUCCAUCUAAAGCUAAAUAUUGGCGAGAGACCGAUAGCGAACAAGUACCGUGAGGGAAAGAUGAAAAGCACUUUGGAAAGAGAGUUAAACAGUAUGUGAAAUUGUUGAAAGGGAAACGAUGGAGGUCAGUCGUGUCUGUGGGAUUCAGCCGUCUCUGGCGGUGUACUUCCCACAGACGGGUCAACAUCAGUUUUGGCUGGCGGAUAAAGGCAGGAGGAAGGUGGCACCCCCGGGUGUGUUAUAGCCUCUUGUUGCA